AGGAGGAAAGAAUCAUGUGCUGGCUGGAAAGGAGAGCCUGAGGCAGAGGGGCCUGUGGCAGAUCCCAGGCAGGAAGGCCUGGGAGUGGCUGCUCAGGAAAGUGCAGGGAUCCUCACCUAAUGGAGCCUAGGAGGGGCUGAAGAGAGAGCUGGAAAGGAACCUGGGAAUGGGGAAAGCAGAGCCAGGCGCUGGCUGGAGACUGGGAUAAAGCUUGGCUGGAAGUCCUGUCAUAGUCACGGCAUUGAGCUACCACAGCAGCCUGAAGGCGUUGCUGGCUGUCUGGAGGCAGAGCUGCUGCAAUGCCGGGGGUGCUCUGGGACGACGUGGCCAAAGGAUAAUCAGAGAAGAUGACACUGGGAUCAUACGUGUUUUGGGAAGAAACAAGAAACCAAGCACGUUGAUGCAAACUAGGAUUUCAUUCUAUCAUCGUGAAUUUCCGAAGGACUCCUUUCAAGCUACACUGCUGCUACUUUGGCGAUUUUUCUGCACCAGCAGUUCCGCCUUUUAUUAACAGAGAUGGAUUUUCUUCAUCUUUGGCAUGUGGCCUUCCAGAGUGUAUCCUCUGCAUCAUCACCCAGUAGCGUGUGAAAUAUCAACAGCACAAAAUGUGAAGACUUCAACUUGCAAGGUAUCAGAAAUAACAAUAGCUUCUGGAUCAUCAGCAUGAAAAAAACUCUGUGAAGAAAUUUCUAUACUCUAUGAAGCCAACAUGGACCUGUUAGCUACAGGGAUAGAAGCUCCUUCUUUAAAAGAAUUUGGUCUCAAUCAAGACUGCAGGUAUAGCUAGGUCCCAAUCCUCCAAAGACUUGUGCGCUCUGCUUAAUUUUACCUACUGUAAGUUGCCCAAGUGAUUUCAGUGCAGCUACUCGUAGUGCAUGAAGUUAAGUAUGUGUGUCAGUCUUUGCAGGUUUGGGGCCAUAGAGGGAUUUCCUAACUGACCCUAUAGUGAUACCCACUGAAAACCAGCAGAGUGUGGCUGGCUGUGUUGUUUUCACAAGACAUCAGGAAUAACACUGCAAAUGUGAACUUGACUAAGUGUCAUGCAAAACAUUAAAUGAAAUGGUAAAACUCCCAUUGAUUUCAUGGGAGCAGAGAUAGGCCUAUACCGAGCACUGCUGCAAAUCCCAUUCUUAAAAUACAGUGUGCAAUUCUACUGUCCUUGUUAUAGGAAAGGCUUAGUUGCUAAGACUGAAAAAGUGUAGUGGGAAGUAACCAAAAUGAUGCAGGGGAUGGAUUGUAAGAAAAGAUGAGAGAGAUUUCGCCUCUGCUGGUCAGAAGAAAAAAAGGAACGUCCUAGAGCUCUGUAAGAAGUGUGUACUGGAGAUAUCUGAAACGACCUACAAUAUUUAAUUAAUAAAUAAGCAGCAAUUGGGCACAGAAGUAAUUUAGGCAGCAUGUCUUUACAGGGCAUUCUUUCAUAGCAUGAGGAUCUUUUUUAUUUGCAUAAUAAACAUCCAGUAAUAGUGGGAUAUGCAGAAAACUGCAAACAAAGCAAUAAAUCAGAGUACGUAAAUCCAUUCAAGUGUGGUUGGGGAAAGGGAAAAAUGUGUUGUCAGAGCUAUGAACUAUAUAUCUGUGCUCCAGCAGUGAGAUUUCAUGGUUUUGUUAGGUAUCUUUGGAUCUAUAAGAAAGCCCUGGUAAUUAUUUACUUGACAGUGUUCCUUUGUACAAAGUCAAAUAUUCAAUCAACCCGCUCCCCCGCCCCCAAUAAAAUAAAAAUUCAGAGGGUGAGCUGAAACAGAAAGUAUAUUAAUCAAAAUGCAGAGCUUUGCACAGCUCUAAGAAUCCUGAAAUCUUUUUCCAGCCUUGCCUCUGACUCACCUGUGAAAAUUUGGGCAAGUAACUUUGGGCCAGAUUUUUAACGGUAUUUAGGCUCUCAACUCCCAUUGAUUUCACUGGGAGCUGGGCACCUAACUACCUUUAACAAUCUUGCCCUUCACCUCGUUGCGUGUCUUACUGCAUCUGUGAAAUGGGUAUAAUAAUAAUAAUUUUCUCAAAGGAAUGUCAUGAGGCUUAAUUUAUGUUUGUAAGCAGCUUUGAAAUUUAUCCAUGAUAGAUACUUCACAUGUCCUGUUGUUGUUGUUCCAUUGUCUUUCAGUUUAUUCCUCACCUUGAAAUGUGUUGAUUUAUGAAAGCCCUGCCUAAUUGGAGGUGAGCGAAUUAGCAUAUAAUACAUGAGGAAGGGAAAUGCGCCUCUCAUAACUGCAGAGGAAAUGAAUCCCAUUAGAGAGGAGCCGUAAUGUGAUUUAAAUGUUUUGCAGGAUUCCCAAGAGACCACCUCUCAGAUGUCAAACAUGAGUCCCUUUCCUAAGCCAGAGUUGCCGUACUGCUAGUUUACUCAGCAUGAGUAAGAAAGGGAGAAGAUUUGUGUUACCGCUCGUAUGCUUCUGCACUGGUGUGAUAAAAGUAAGCAUCCCCAUUUCCUGGCUGAGGGAGAGUAGAGGAGAGUCCUUAACAUUUCUUGAAUGGUCUAGCCCCUAUAAAUAUUUUAAUGCCCUUCUAACAUACACAUCUCUCCUGUUUGAUUUCGAUGGCUUAAGGGCAUAAAGAUUUCCAGUCUUACUUCAAAAUUGGAGUGAAAAUGUAAUAUCCUUUUAAGAUAAAAGAAAGACUCUAAAGCACUGUAUGUUUUGUAAAGCUCAGGAAAGGUUCAUUAAGCAACAAAUGCUGGUAGUUCUGCAGUCAUUUGAAGGGUAUAAACACUAAAAAGAAGAAGAAUUGCAGAUGGUGCAAAGCAUUUAGCUAAGCGCGACAGAAUUAUAUCGGCCAAAGGAAAAUGUGGGCUGAGCUAGAGAAAAAACUAAAAGCAUUUGCUGCAUGGUGUAAUCCUGACAUUGACAGGGAAAGGCUUAGCUGACCAAUAGGUUUUUCCAUAUCUAAUCUUCAUGAUUUCAUACUUAAAAUUGUAACAUUACUGCUUUCAAAGGCUCUAAAGGACGUUCUUGUAAGACUCUGAUGAUAGAUCUCCACAUGGAGUAGUUAUGUUUUCUGGGAUUUUAUCAUAUAGGUUAACUUUCUGGAUAUCUUUCCAAAAUGUUAAGCCACAAGACAAUCAAAGUAUUCUUCUUUGUCAUGGUACACUACACCAAUUGAAGCCAGUGAAUCUACUCAUGUGAGUAGGGCGAGCAAGAUCUGGCUCUCUUGGUAAUCAAAAGCUGGGACUGCUGAAAAGUAUGUCCUCCAUAUGGAAAGUUUAAAAUUACUAUGAAAUCAGGUGGACAUGUGGGAUCAAAUAGAACUAUAGAGCUGGAAGGGACCUCAAAAGGUCAGCUAGUCCAGCCCCCUGCAUUGAAACAAGACCAAGUAAAGCUAGGUCGUUUUCGAGAGGCAUUUGUCCAACCUGCUGUUAAAAACUUCCGAUGGCGGGGAUUCCACAGCCACUAUUGGAAGCCUAUUCCAGAAUUUAACUGUCCUCAUAGUUGGUUUUCCUAACCUAAAUCUUCCUUGCUGCAGAUUAAGCCCAUCACUUCUUGUCCUACCUUCAGCAGACAUGGAGAACAACUGAUCACCACUCUCUUUAUAACGGCCCUGAACAUAUUGGAAGACUGUUACCAGGUCCCUCCUGCGUCUUCUUUUUUCGUAACUAAACAUGCCCAGGGUUUUUUUAACCUUCCCUAAUAGGUCAGGUUUUUAAAACCUUUUAUCCUUUUUGUUGCUCUUCUCUGGACUCUCUUCAAUUUGUCCACCUCUCUCCUAAAGCGUGGCAUCCAGCUGAGGCCUCAUGAAUACACAGCAGAAGAUCUACAGAUCAUCUUGAGAAAAACAUGCCCUUGAUAUAGCAGGCUGGAAGCAAUCCAGACUGCAAUGACUGCUGAAGUUGCUUAUCCUCUCCUAGUUCCAAACGUUUCGUGCAGGGGAUAUGGAAUACGACAUAGCGCUCAUCAAUUCCUUUCUAACCCGAGAGCAUGAAAAGAACUCCAAAGUGGUGGGAUGGGGGAAUGUGGCUUUCUUGAAGCAACAUACUCCAGUUAUAGGUUAAAAACUUUUCUUCCUUUGGGAAUUAUCUCUGCUGUCCUCCUUUCUUAGGAGAUCAUCUAGCAGAAACCACCCCACAGAGGGCUAAGCAGCAUUAAAUGAAGACAGCAAAUUGCUCUCCUGAACUGGGCAUCCAGUCUGCCUUCUGAAUAGUGCAGAGUAAUACUAAUAGAGUUUAACUGGUGACCCAGUACCCUUUCUUUUUGUAUUAUCAGAGAGAGCAAAUAGGAGCACCUGACUUUCCUUCUCUGUGCCAUUCUUUCUCUAUCACUUCUAUCUUGGCUCUUCUUAUUCAUCUCCCCUCAAAACUAAGCAUACUAAUUGUUUUAGGUCUGUCCUCAUAUGGAAGAUUCUGUGUACCUCAGAGUGUUUUCAUUGCCUGUCACUGAACCCUUUCCAUUCUUUCUGUAUCUUUUAGAGCACCAGCCACAAAGUUCAUGAAGAGUGUGUACCAUCCCUUCAUAACGGGGUUAUAAUACGUUCACAGUCAUUCUCUGUCACUUUCUUAUGCCCAUAUUACAUUGUUUGCUUUCUUGCCGCAUACUGAUCAUUUAUAGAAAGGUUGAUAUCUUUUAAGGUGUGCGUGUCUCACUAAUAAAUAUAUUUCAGUUUUAUGGUAUUUCUGAUCUUUUGAUCAGUCCAUGUGCCAAACCAAAGAGAUUAAAGACUCCAAAGGCAAAUGAAAGAGUCUUUAUCAAGCUGGCACAGAAAACUGAGCGAAUGCUUUAUAACCUAAAUAUUAUCCUGCCACAAGUUGCAAUCAGAUUCCAAGCAGUGUAAAAUUGAAAUCCUUUUGCUGUCAAAUCGCUAAAACACACAUUUUUUGCACAGUCCUUCUAAAACGUUCCACAGAUUUAAAUUAAAAUGAAAUGCAAGUUGGAAACACCCAUAUCUAACAAAGUCUGCUCCCAGUUAACCACAUAGACAAGCCCCAUUCAUUUCAAGGGGACGUGCGUAUGUGUUUAGCUGGGAGCAGAGUUUGGUGCAGGAUUCCUGUGCAAACACUACAGCCCCCUUAGACAAGUGUUAGCUGUUCUAAUGGUCAAGGUGAUCAGGGAUAGAGAAUGUGAACUUCGUCCCACUUUGCUAAUUCAGAUCGCAUGAACCCCAAAAGGAGUUAGAGCCUUUUGGACUGUAAACUCCUUGGGACAGAAGCUAUUUACUGUGCGCUUGUACAGCAUCUAGCACAAUGAUUCCCCAUCCUAAUUGGUGUUUAGGAGCCACUGGAGUCUAAAUGUGAACUAAUAAUAAAGGUAUCCCUAA